CGCGCCACAGAACCGCAUGCGAAAGCGUCAGGAGCGUGCGUCUCGACAGAUCCCGCGGCGCCCGCGCACCUCCGCUCGUCCCUAAUCAUUAUCUGAUGACAGAAAUCUGCGCGCAUUACGGCGGCGGCGCUGUUUCUUAGCAACGCGCCAGGGCUAUUCAAACAAUUUCAUUAAAGUGUGACACCUCUUAGCAGGUGGCUGUGUGCGAGAGGAGAUAAACACAGAGGUGGAAGCGUCGGCGCUAUUUGCCAACAUCACAAUUGAUAACAUCAAUUCAGCAACGUGUUUACAAGCCCUAUGAAAUGAAGCGAGCGUGUAAGAGUCGCUGAACCCCAGACGCCUGCUGUCUGCUGCACAAACACACCCAGACGCGCAGGUAGCGCUGCUAUUCAGACUGAGAACGCUUGAUUUACAUUCCAAUACCUUCAGUGCGUCCUGGGAUCCCGCUGCCUCUGAUGUAAUGCCAGGCAGGUUUACAAACACCAGAUCCUGAGGGAGGGAGCAGGAGAGCCAAGCUUCAGUGGUGGAUAAUGGGAAUGAUUUACCUCCGAUGCGCUGUGGAGAUUUCAGUGGACAGGUGACAGGUUUCAUCUGACAUCUGCUUACCUGAUGAAAACCUGAGCCGGCCGAAUGCACCGAUACAUCUGCCCGCUGAUCUGCUGACAUGAUGAGAGUGUGUCGAGGAUAUUGUUCAUCAGUAACCAACCUGAAGUUCCAC